rnacentral:rRNA from 1 species
UACAGAGGUCUCAAGCGUUGUUCGGAUUCAUUGGGCGUAAAGGGUGCGUAGGUGGCGCUGUAAGUCAGGUGUGAAAUUUCGGAGCUUAACUCCGAAACUGCAUUUGAUACUGCGGUGCUUGAGGACUGGAGAGGAGACUGGAAUUCACGGUGUAGCAGUGAAAUGCGUAGAUAUCGUGAGGAAGACCAGUGGCGAAGGCGGGUCUCGUGGACAGUUCCUGACACUGAGGCACGAAGGCCAGGGGAGCAAACGGG